CCUACGGGUGGCAGCAGUGAGGAAUAUUGGUCAAUGGUCGGGAGACUGAACCAGCCAAGUCGCGUGAGGGAGGACGAUACUGUGUAUUGUAAACCUCUUUUGUCAGGGAACAAAGGUGGGGACGUGUCCCCGGAUGAGUGUACCUGAAGAAAAAGCAUCGGCUAACUCCGUGCCAGCAGCCGCGGUAAUACGGAGGAUGCGAGCGUUAUCCGGAUUUAUUGGGUUUAAAGGGUGCGCAGGCGGUCUGUUAAGUCAGCGGUAAAAGCGGGGGGCUCAACCCCGGCCCGCCGUUGAAACUGGCAGUCUCGAGUUGGAGAGAAGUAUGCGGAAUGCGCGGUGUAGCGGUGAAAUGCAUAGAUAUCGCGCAGAACUCCGAUUGCGAAGGCAGCAUGCCGGCUCCACACUGACGCUGAGGCACGAAAGCGUGGGUAUCGAACAGGAUUAGAUACCCCUGUAGUC
rnacentral:rRNA from 1 species